GGCUCAUCUAUAUCAUUCAACAGUGGUUUGAAUUGCGUUAACUGCUUGUACAAUUACUCAAGCUUUUAAACUCAAAAAUAUAAGUCACCCAACAAAAAUCUUUGGUCAAGAUCAAAAUGUUCUCAACUACUCCCAACUCAAAAAUUUGAACCAGUGAUUUGUUCUGCGAUAAUAAUCUCCAGCAAGCUUAAAAGAAAGGAAAUGUCAUGAGUGCAAACUUUGAAUACCACUACAUUGAACUUGAAAAUGUCUAGCAUCUUCUUGAUGUGCACGUAAGGUCUUCAUCUCACACAGGAUCCUCAGAAUAUAUGCACAAUGUCAUAUGCAAAUGUCCAGAAGAGCACAAAUGACAUAAGACCGCCAAAAAAUCCAUCAAGCAAGACUCUGUUCCAGCUGUCAAAGUAGGAGUGGAUUGAAAACUUGGCCUUUGCCGUGAGUGCAACUGAAGUUAUUGCCAUGACAAGGAAAUAAAAUAUAAAUCCUGUCAAGCUAGUAAGUCCCAGAAUGCCGGCAAUGACACCACCAAUGAUUGCCAUGAAUGUGCGGCUGUAAAGAAUAACUUUCAUGUUGUUUUGCAUAUUCUCAGCAUUGAAAGUGGGCAAAUCAUCCAUACCACUGGUCGACUUUUCUGUAGAUCCGUUCGAGUUAUCAUGCCCAGCCAUCGCGCCUUUUUGGAAUUCAAACAAAUCUGAUUAAGGCGAUGGCGAUGAUUACUAAUUGUGAGAGCACCGUAAGAAGCAAUGGCAGAACGAACUCUGAGAUUGAAGGACCAAAAU
rnacentral:misc_RNA from 1 species